CAGCAGCCACGGUAAUACAGAGGGGGCUAGCGUUGUUCGGAAUUACUGGGCGUAAAGCGCACGUAGGCGGCUUGGUAAGUUAGAGGUGAAAGCCCGGAGCUCAACUCCGGAAUUGCCUUUAAGACUGCCGAGCUAGCAGGUGAGAGAGGUAAGUGGAAUUCCGAGUGUAGAGGUGAAAUUCGUAGAUAUUCGGAAGAACACCAGUGGCGAAGGCGGCUUACUGGCUCAUACUGGACGCUGAGGUGCGAAAGCGUGGGGAGCAAACAGGAUUAGAUACCCCCGUAGUCCCUGUCUCUUAUAC
rnacentral:rRNA from 1 species